GACGAACGCUGUCGGCGUGCUUAACACAUGCAAGUCGAACGGAAAGGCCCUGCUUUUGUGGGGUGCUCGAGUGGCGAACGGGUGAGUAACACGUGAGUAACCUGCCCUUGACUUUGGGAUAACUUCAGGAAACUGGGGCUAAUACCGGAUAGGAGCUCCUGCUGCAUGGUGGGGGUUGGAAAGUUUCGGCGGUUGGGGAUGGACUCGCGGCUUAUCAGCUUGUUGGUGGGGUAGUGGCUUACCAAGGCUUUGACGGGUAGCCGGCCUGAGAGGGUGACCGGCCACAUUGGGACUGAGAUACGGCCCAGACUCCUACGGGAGGCAGCAGUGGGGAAUAUUGCACAAUGGGCGGAAGCCUGAUGCAGCAACGCCGCGUGCGGGAUGACGGCCUUCGGGUUGUAAACCGCUUUCGCCUGUGACGAAGCGUGAGUGACGGUAAUGGGUAAAGAAGCACCGGCUAACUACGUGCCAGCAGCCGCGGUGAUACGUAGGGUGCGAGCGUUGUCCGGAUUUAUUGGGCGUAAAGGGCUCGUAGGUGGUUGAUCGCGUCGGAAGUGUAAUCUUGGGGCUUAACCCUGAGCGUGCUUUCGAUACGGGUUGACUUGAGGAAGGUAGGGGAGAAUGGAAUUCCUGGUGGAGCGGUGGAAUGCGCAGAUAUCAGGAGGAACACCAGUGGCGAAGGCGGUUCUCUGGGCCUUUCCUGACGCUGAGGAGCGAAAGCGUGGGGAGCGAACAGGCUUAGAUACCCUGGUAGUCCACGCUGUAAACGGUGGGUACUAGGUGUGGGGUCCAUUCCACGGGUUCCGUGCCGUAGCUAACGCUUUAAGUACCCCGCCUGGGGAGUACGGCCGCAAGGCUAAAACUCAAAGGAAUUGACGGGGCCCCGCACAAGCGGCGGAGCAUGCGGAUUAAUUCGAUGCAACGCGUAGAACCUUACCUGGGUUUGACAUGGAUCGGGAGUGCUCAGAGAUGGGUGUGCCUCUUUUGGGGUCGGUUCACAGGUGGUGCAUGGCUGUCGUCAGCUCGUGUCGUGAGAUGUUGGGUUAAGUCCCGCAACGAGCGCAACCCUUGUUCACUGUUGCCAGCACGUUAUGGUGGGGACUCAGUGGAGACCGCCGGGUCAACUCGGAGGAAGGUGGGGAUGACGUCAAGUCAUCAUGCCCCUUAUGUCCAGGGCUUCACGCAUGCUACAAUGGCUGGUACAGAGAGUGGCGAGCCUGUGAGGGUGAGCGAAUCUCGGAAAGCCGGUCUCAGUUCGGAUUGGGGUCUGCAACUCGACCUCAUGAAGUCGGAGUCGCUAGUAAUCGCAGAUCAGCAACGCUGCGGUGAAUACGUUCCCGGG
rnacentral:rRNA from 1 species